AACACAUGAUCAACUUACCCUAUAGAGAAAUAUAACCUCGGGAAACUGAGGAUAAUAUUUCAUAGUUGAAUAGGCUUGGAAAAGUUUUUCAAUAAAAGGGAUAAAAAAAAUGGUUCUUAUCUGCUAUAGGAUAGGAUCGUGGACGAUUAUGGUUGUUGGUGAGGUAACGGCUCACCAAGCCGAUAAUCGAUAGGGGCCGUGAGAGCGGGAGCCCCGAGAUGGGUACUGAGACAACGACCCAGGCCCUACGAGGCGCAGCAGGCGCGGAACCUCCGCAAUACACGAAAGUGUGACGGGGUUACCCAAAGUGUUCAAUUUUGAACUGUGGUAGGUGAGUAAUGUCCCCUACUAGAAAGGAGAGGGCAAGGCUGGUGCCAGCCGCCGCGGUAAAACCAGCUCUUCAAGUGGUCGGGAUAAUUAUUGGGCUUAAAGUGUCCGUAGCCGGUUUAGUAAGGUCCUGGUAAAAUCGGGUAGCUUAACUAUCUGUAUGCUAGGAAUACUGCUAUACUAGAGGGCGGGAGAAGUCUGAGGUACUACAGGGGUAGGGGUGAAAUCUUAUAAUCCUUGUAGGACCACCAGUGGCGAAGGCGUCAGACUGGAACGCGCCUGACGGUGAGGGACGAAAGCCAGGGGAGCGAACCGGAUUAGAUACCCGGGUAGUCCUGGCCGUAAACGAUGCAUACUAGGUGAUGGUACGGCCAUGAGCCGUAUCAGUGCCGUAGGGAAACCGUUAAGUGUGCCGCCUGGGAAGU
rnacentral:rRNA from 1 species